GAUCAGCAUGCCGCGGUGAAUACGUUCCCGGGCCUUGUACACACCGCCCGUCACACCACGAGAGCUUGCAACACCCGAAGUCGGUGAGGUAACCCGCAAGGGAGCCAGCCGCCGAAGGUGGGGCAAGUGAUUGGGGUGAAGUCGUAACAAGGUAGCCGUACCGGAAGGUGCGGCUGGAUCACCUCCUUUCUAAGGGGA
rnacentral:rRNA from 1 species